CCAGUUGACCGGGUGGCCGCUGUCGGAUGGGUAACUGUCCGAUGGAGGAAAGUCCGGGCUCCAUCGAAACACGGUGCCGGGUAACGCCCGGCGGGGGCGACCCUAGGGAAAGUGCCACAGAAAGCAAACCGCCGGUCUUCGGACAGGCAAGGGUGAAAGGGUGCGGUAAGAGCGCACCGGGCGACCAGCAAUGGAAGCCGCACGGUAAACCCCACCGGGAGCAAGACCAAAUAGGGAUGACGCGGGGCUUCGGCCCCAGCCUGUUUCGAGGCCAGAUCAUCCGGGUUGGUUGCACCAGGCGUCCUGGCAACAGGCGCCGCAGAUGAAUGGCCACCACGUACGCACUCUCGGGUGCGUGCCCUACAGAACCCGGCUUAUAGGUCAACUGGCAUU
rnacentral:RNase_P_RNA from 2 species